UACGUAGGGUCCGAGCGUUGUCCGGAAUUACUGGGCGUAAAGAGCUCGUAGGUGGUUUGUCGCGUUGUUCGUGAAAACUCACAGCUCAACUGUGGGCGUGCGGGCGAUACGGGCAGACUAGAGUACUGCAGGGGAGACUGGAAUUCCUGGUGUAGCGGUGGAAUGCGCAGAUAUCAGGAGGAACACCGGCGGCGAAGGCGGGUCUCUGGGCAGUAACUGACGCUGAGGAGCGAAAGCGUGGGGAGCGAACAGG
rnacentral:rRNA from 1 species